AUUCGCCGGUUUAAGACCAGUCUCGUGCCACACCACAAGUCACCCGCGCGCCUGGCGUCUGCUCCAGGGGGACAUGCCCAACCGCCUGUGGAGGGAGUGGCUCAUGAUCCACUCUGCACGUGCUGGACUCGGCAGUGGCUGCCUCAUGUCACCUCAUCACGGCCCCACAUCAUCUGCC